UACGUAGGGUGCGAGCGUUAAUCGGAAUUACUGGGCGUAAAGCGUGCGCAGGCGGCUUUGCAAGACAGAUGUGAAAUCCCCGGGCUCAACCUGGGAACUGCAUUUGUGACUGCAUGGCUAGAGUACGGUAGAGGGGGAUGGAAUUCCGCGUGUAGCAGUGAAAUGCGUAGAUAUGCGGAGGAACACCGAUGGCGAAGGCAAUCCCCUGGACCUGUACUGACGCUCAUGCACGAAAGCGUGGGGAGCGAACAGG
rnacentral:rRNA from 1 species